CCUACGGGAGGCAGCAGUAGGGAAUCUUUCACAAUGGGCGAAAGCCUGAUGGAGCAACGCCGCGUGCAGGAUGAAGGCCUUCUGGUUGUAAACUGCUUUUAUAAGCGAGAAAUAUGAUGGUAACUUAUGAAUAAGGAUCGGCUAACUACGUGCCAGCAGCCGCGGUCAUACGUAGGAUCCGAGCAUUAUCCGGAGUGACUGGGUGUAAAGAGUUGCGUAGGUGGCAUAAUAAGUAGCUAGUGAAAUCUGGUGGCUCAACAAUUCAGACUAUUAGCUAAACUGUUAAGCUCGAGACCGUUAGGGGUAACUGGAAUUUCUAGUGUAGGAGUGAAAUCCGUAGAUAUUAGAAGGAACACCAAUAGCGUAGGCAGGUUACUGGGACGGGUCUGACACUAAGGCACGAAAGCGUAGGGAGCAAACGGGAUUAGAUACCCUGGUAGUC
rnacentral:rRNA from 1 species